CCGCGUUAAAGGUAAAAUCAUCGAAAGAUGAUGACACAAAGCCAUGGGUCUAAAGCCAACUAAUAGAAGGCUAUGAUUGCCAGGCCGCCAAA
rnacentral:ncRNA from 1 species